AAUGAAUUACUGCACUUAAAGGGAUACUUCACUGAUUAGCAUUAAGCUUUAUAUCAGUAGAAACCCGGUUGUAUUUUUGAAUGGCCGUGCUUCCCUCUCUAAUGUCUCCCUGAGACUAGAUUUCUCUGAAUUGUGGGUCUGGACAAAA